rnacentral:lncRNA from 13 species
UUGUCCUUUAACAAAGCAGUGAUGCUUAACAUGAGAAAUCUACAGUCUGGCCACUGAAAACUGAAGGAAAAUAACCACUGUUCAUUAUCGUGAAACAGGAGGAAACAAGGCAUCAUAAGUUAAAUGAGGGUUUUCCUUCCAGAACUGAAAAGCGAGUUAAUCCAAAUGACAAAUUAGAUGGAAUUUCUUACAAAAUUGUGGGCUUCUCAUUUCUGGAUGUGUUUACACAACAGAUGGACACUAAUCUCUGGGAAUCCUGCAAUAGGUGGAAGUUGUACCAGAGUCUUGCUCUGUUACCCAGGCUGGAGUGCAGUAGGACUAUCUUUGCCCACUACAACCUCUGCCUUCCUAGAUUCAAGCAACUCUCCUGCCUCAGCUUCCUGAGUAGCUGAGAUUACAGGAAAAAGAAAAACCUGAAUAUCACUCUCAGCAUGAUCCUUGUCAAAGGAAAAGCUGUACUCUUCUCAGUGACUCUUACCAAGAACUCGAUUACUCUUCACAGCCUGGUCCAAGAUUCUCAGUAACAAAGUUAGACACAAAGAAAACAAGAAACGCUGUACCUUGUAUGAUCAAUGGGCCUCAGUACUUCUGCUUGCCUUUCUUCUUACCUUCUUAUUUUUGCUGGCUGAUGUAAUCUAUGCUCAUAACUUCAAUUGCC